CGGUGCACCAGAGAGUGAAGUGUAUGACUUUUAAAAUGAGGCACUCCUUGGAGACCGGGAUUGUUGCUGCUCCACAACUGGUGUGAGCUCCUACAGAAAGUCUCAUUUUUUUGAGCUGCCUGAGGCUCUUCUGACCAUGGUUGCUGCCUGGAAAAGCAGCAGAAGGCUCUUGUCACGUUGAGAUGUGCCCGAGCCACCCACUCCAGCCCUCAGCCAAGCAGGUUUGAUAGAAGGGAAGAAUAAAACUAAGGAACUGGCCAAUUUAAAUUUUAUGUAAUAAAAAUCUACUCAAAAUUAGUCUUCAUUUCUUUCAAGACAAAGUAAUGUUCUGUGGCUUUCCUGAAGAUGUCAGUCAGUCUUGUGAAACAUUUCUGCAUCCCACAAUUUCUCCAUGAACCCUGGGGCAGAGGAUGGUGCUUGCUCUGCAGGCUGAGUGUUAUCCCAUUUCCAAGGUGCAGUUUGGGACACGUCCUCAUGCUGAGCCUGCUGCAGUGUUUGCCCUGGGCUGCACCAAGGCUGCUCUGCCCACUGGCUCUGUAAAGCAGCAUCUGCUCCCCCACAUCUCUGCAGACUCAUUGAUUUAGAUGUGCCUGAACAGGCUGACAACCAGGAAAAAAAAUAAAUAUAAAUAAACCUUUGCAAACAUAUCUUUUGUGUCAAAAUAAAUACGGGGAGGAAAAUGUUGGCAAAUUCCGUGAACUGAAGGAAGUUCUGCAGUAAGACCUGCAAGUUAAUACAGCACAAGUACUGUGGCAGCAUUUCUUCCUCCUCAAUGUACAGUUUUAGUCAAAGGGAGGAAUUUUUAGAUAAGGUGAACAAAUUUUCUUUGUGCCAGCCAUUUUAGAAGCUGUUAAUUGAACCCUGUGGUUUAGAAUUUUCUUUGCUCCCUCCAUGAAUUAAAAUUUAGAAUUUGUAGAUGACUUUUGUAAUUAUAUAAAUGAGAGAAGCAAUUUUUUUUUUCCUAGAAAGGAGAUAAUAAAUAUGGAGGAACAUGUGGUAGGGUAGCGAAUAAUACAGAGAAAGUACAAUAGGAACAUCUUCAGAAAUUUACAGCUUUUUGGAGGUGUGACUUCCAGUCAUGUCCUUUCUAAUGUUUCUUUUUGUUGAAAUGCUAAGAUUAAAGGGUGUUUCAGUAAAAUUGCUGAUUCCAGGUAGAAUAGAAUGAUGUUACUAAAUUUCAAUCAGUUUUUUUUUUAGAAAAUAUACUUUAAAGUACUCUUUAGAUAGUCAAAUAUAUUUGAUCAUAGGGCCACAUUGUAAAGCACAUGGAGGUCAGAUGAAAAAUGAAACUUAUAAACAUAUGUAAUAAAGAUUUGACUCUAUGAUCUUGGAGAUAUUUCCAAGCUUACUGAUUCUACAAUUCAAUGAAAUAGCAGUUCGGAUUUUGCCCUAGCAUAAAUAUUUAAGAUUUUCUGUUAAAAAAAAAAAAUUAAAAAUCUGAAUUAGUCAUUCUCUCAGGAUAAGAACACUGCUGAUGUUAGGAAGUGAGGCUGUAAUGAAGCUGUUUAGUGAAAUGGUGCAAUUUACGGUGUUUAGUAGAUACAGAGACAUCAAACAAGAAAGAAAUAAGUUGGAGCUGAAGAUGAAAUAAUUACUGUGAUGAUUACAUUUGAGCUCAAUCUGUGUGAAUGCAGAGUGCUUCACGAUGGGGAAAGAAAUGAUUUUCGUGACUUGAACUUGCAUUAUAAGAUUCUGGGGGAGGCAAUCUCCCACCAGGAUCUCCGGGUGGCUGCCGUUGGGUACCGGGUUGCCAUGGUAACAGAUGGAGGUUUGCCCGGUUAAGCAUCCUCCAAACCCGGUGGUAUUUUCAGUCAGGGGCUUCAAAUACUCAUCUUUGCUUCUUUGUUGUUUGCAUUAAUUAUCUGCCUGUUGGUUCUUUAAGUAGAACUGCAGGUGAGGCUGCUUAACUGUUUGAUUUCUGCUGUAUCCCUCUCUAUAUAUUUGUAUAUGGCUCUCUGUGUCCCCUUGGAGAAAGCUGACCUGUGCUGGAAACUGAACCCAAUUUCUGUCUUCUGUGAAGUGGUGGCAAAACUGGCUGAGCCCAUAUAUUGCAGUUCAGAUCUGAUUCUACUGACGUGCUCCUGGGGUGGAGGGAAAGCUGCCUCUGAGUGGCAAAACACCGUGCAUGAAAUAGGAGCAAUAAUAUCAUCAGUCACAGUUUUGGAUGGCUUUUGCAUUUGAAUGCGCUCUUUGCCUCAUCUGUGAGGAAUGGGAGCAAUUUCAAAGAUCUGCCUUUUGUUAGUGAGGUGUUAGAGUGGCAGGUAAGGCAGAGAAAGUGCUGGAAUGUGAAAUGUGAAGGGUUAAACUUCGCAAGAGGAGACCUUAUAUCAUGUGUGACUGAUUUUCUUUGCAGGUGUCACGUGUGCUCUCUUUGCAGCAAUUGGGGCACAGGGAGAUCACUCUGACUCUUGUCCAGAAACAAGGUUGUGGUUUGUGGGGUUUUCUGCAGCAGUUGUUAGUUUCUGAAGAGCAAACCUCAACCUCAUGCCCCAGUAUUCACAUUCUAGUGUUCAUUUCCAUCUUAAUAUGCUUUUGUUGCUGUUCCCAGUGCCUUACCUGCCCUUGUACCACUUUGGCUCAGAGCUGUCCCUCCACAUCACCCAGUCCCCUCACUGUUAUUAUACUGACAGUCCAAGAGCCCAUUUGGGGCCUUGGCUGCAGCCUCAGGAACAGGUAUGGAGUGGUGUGGCAGUACUGUGAUCCCAAUGUGUGAGAUACCGAAUCCAGCAACAUUCCCACCUGACACUUGCACUGUAAUGUGGUGUCUGUCACCAGCAGCCUUGAGUUAUCCUGUUCUGUGUGUGCUAAGACACCGACUCUGGUCCUUUGCUGUGCCCUCUGACCUCCUGAGCCGCUGCCUUUGCUUCUUCCAUCUUUUUCCUGUUACGUGUUCGUGACGAUUUCUGCGGCAAACCUGGGACCAGAGCGGAGCUGUGAUGUGGCUGAGAGGAAGGGGGGACCACCAGCCCUUGAACUGAUGCUUACUCCUUGGUGAUGCUCAGUUUGGGAACCCUGCAGACUGCAUCUUCCAAGCCCCAAGGACACAAUUCCUCCCCCUGCAGAGAUCAGAUCUGCUGGAGGAUGAGCAUGGAUGGGCCAGUGAGAUAUUAACAAGCCUGAUCCUUCCCUCAACACUGUUUUGGCUUUUUGUUUUCGCUUCAGGAAAGAGUAAAAUCUU